rnacentral:rRNA from 1 species
UACAGAGGGGGCAAGCGUUGUUCGGAAUUACUGGGCGUAAAGGGCGCGUAGCGGCGUGACAAGUCACGUUGUGAAAUCUCCGGGCUUAACUCGGAACGGUCAAGUGAUACUGUCGUGGCUAGAGUACAGGAAGGGGCAACUGGAAUUCUCGGUGUAGCGGUGAAAUGCGUAGAUAUCGAGAGGAACACCAGUGGCGAAGGCGACUUCCUGGCCUG